rnacentral:tRNA from 1 species
ACUGUUUAGUUUAUUUAAAAUAGAUAUUUUGAAAGUAUCAGAAAAGAAAAAAAUUCUUAAUAGUCU